UGAACACAAGUGUCUUCGAAGCUUUCCG
rnacentral:sRNA from 1 species